rnacentral:miRNA from 1 species
AGGUGGGAGGAUUGCUUGAGCCUGGGAGGUGGAGGUUGCAGUGAGCUGAGAUUGCGCCACUGCACUCCAGCUUGAGGCACAGAGUGAGACCCUGUCUC